rnacentral:rRNA from 1 species
UACGUAGGUGGCAAGCGUUUUCCGGAAUUAUUGGGCGUAAAGCGCGCGCAGGCGGUUAUGUAAGUCUGAUGUUAAAGCCCGGGCUCAACCUCGGUUCGCAUUGGAAACUGCGUAACUUGAGUGCAGAAGAGGAAAGUGGUAUUCCACGUGUAGCGGUGAAAUGCGUAGAUAUGUGGAGGAACACCAGUGGCGAAGGCGUCUUUCUGGUCUGUAACUGACGCUGAGGCGCGAAAGCGUGGGGAGCAAACAGG